rnacentral:rRNA from 1 species
UACGUAGGGGGCUAGCGUUGUCCGGAUUUAUUGGGCGUAAAGAGCGUGUAGGCGGCCAUGUAGGUCCGGUGUGAAAACUCGAGGCUUAACCUCGAGAUGUCAUCGGAAACCAUUUGGCUAGAGUCCGGAAGAGGAGAGUGGAAUUCCUGGUGUAGCGGUGAAAUGCGUAGAGAUCCGGAGGAACCCCAGAGGCGAAGGCGGCGCCCUGGCUCGCAACUGACGCUCAGACACGACAGCAUGGGGAGCGAACGGG